rnacentral:rRNA from 1 species
GAUGAACGCUAGCGGCAGGCCUAAUACAUGCAAGUCGAGGGGUAUGGGUUGCUUGCCCCCCAGAGACCGGCGCACGGGUGCGUAACGCGUAUGCAAUCUACCUUAAUCAGGGGGAUAGCCCGGAGAAAUCCGGAUUAACACCGCAUAACAUUGAGUUGUGGCAUCACAGUUCAAUCAAAUAUUUAUAGGAUUAAGAUGAGCAUGCGUGACAUUAGUUAGUUGGUGAGGUAACGGCUCACCAAGACCACGAUGUCUAGGGGAUCUGAGAGGAUGACCCCCCACACUGGUACUGGGACACGGACCAGACUCCUACGGGAGGCAGCAGUAAGGAAUAUUGGUCAAUGGGCGCAAGCCUGAACCAGCCAUGCCGCGUGCAGGAAGACGGCCCUAUGGGUUGUAAACUGCUUUUGUACCGGAAUAAACCUUCUCUUGCGAGAGAAGCUGAACGUACGGUAAGAAUAAGGAUCGGCUAACUCCGUG